rnacentral:rRNA from 1 species
UACGUAGGGUGCAAGCGUUAAUCGGAAUUACUGGGCGUAAAGCGUGCGCAGGCGGUGUCUUAAGUUUGUUGUGAAAUCUCCCGGCUUAACCGGGAGGGUGCGGCGAAUACUGAGAUGCUGGAGUGCCGGAGAGGUAAGCGGAAUUCCUGGUGUAGCGGUGAAAUGCGUAGAUAUCAGGAGGAACACCUGCGGUGUAGACGGCUUACUGGACGGUAACUGACGCUGAGGCACGAAAGCGUGGGUAGCAAACAGG